rnacentral:rRNA from 1 species
AUUGAACGCUGGCAGCAUGCCUUACACAUGCAAGUCGAACGGUAACAGGUCUUCGGAUGCUGACGAGUGGCGAACGGGUGAGUAAUACAUCGGAACGUGCCUAGUAGUGGGGGAUAACUACUCGAAAGAGUGGCUAAUACCGCAUGAGAUCUACGGAUGAAAGCAGGGGAUCGCAAGACCUUGUGCUACUAGAGCGGCCGAUGGCAGAUUAGGUAGUUGGUGGGAUAAAAGCUUACCAAGCCGACGAUCUGUAGCUGGUCUGAGAGGACGAUCGGCCACACUGGGACUAAGACACGGCCCAGACUCCUACGGGAGGCAGCAGUGGGGAAUUUUGGACAAUGGGCGCAAGCCUGAUCCAGCAAUGCCGCGUGCAGGAUGAAGGCCUUCGGGUUGUAAACUGCUUUUGUACGGAACGAAAAGCCCUGGGUUAAUACCCUGGGGUCAUGACGGUACCGUAAGAAUAAGCACCGGCUAACUACGUGCCAGCAGCCGCCGUAA